rnacentral:rRNA from 1 species
AGUGAACGCUGGCGGCGUGCUUAACACAUGCAAGUCGAACGAGAACGGAUUAUAGCUUGCUAUAAUUGUCAGCUAAGUGGCGCACGGGUGAGUAAUGUAUAGGUAAUAUGCCUCUUACUAAGGGAUAACAAAUGGAAACGUUUGCUAAUACCUUAUACUCCUUAUUAACAGAAGUUAAUAAGGGAAAGAUUUAUUGGUAAGAGAUUAGCCUGUAUUGUAUCAGUUAGUUGGUGGGGUAAUGGCUUACCAAGACUAUGACACAUAACUGGUUUGAGAGGAUGAUCAGUCACACUGGAACUGAGACACGGUCCAGACUCCUACGGGAGGCAACAGUGGGGAAUAUUGCACAAUGGACGAAAGUCUGAUGCAGCAACGCCGCGUGGAGGAUGACACAUUUCGGUGCGUAAACUCCUUUUAUAUGAGAAGAUUAUGACGGUAUUAUAUGAAUAAGCACCGGCUAACUCCGUGCCAGCCGCCGCCGUAAGAC